UUAAAGGGGGAUUCUGCCGUGCCG
rnacentral:miRNA from 1 species